AAUAUUUGACAAUGGGGGCAACCCUGAUCCAGCCAUGCCGCGUGUGUGAAGAAGGUCUUCGGAUUGUAAAGCACUUUAAGUUGUGAGGAAGGGCUUUAGGUUAAUACCCUGAAUUUUUGACGUUACCAGCAGAAUAAGCACCGGCUAACUCUGUCCCAUCAGCCGCGGUAAUACAGCGGGUGCAAGCGUUAAUCGGAAUUACUGGGCGUAAAGCGCGCGUAGGUGGUUCAGUAAGAUGGGUGUGAAAGCCCCGGGAUUAACCUGGGAACUGCUUUCAUAACUGCUGAGCUAGAGUACGGUAGAGGGUAGUGGAAUUUCCUGUGUAGCGGUGAAAUGCGUAGAUAUAGGAAGGAACACCAGUGGCGAAGGCGACUACCUGGACUGAUACUGACACUGAGGUGCGAAAGCGUGGGGAGCAAAC
rnacentral:rRNA from 1 species